rnacentral:rRNA from 1 species
CUUAUGGAGAAAGAUUUAUCGGAGAUGGAUGAGCCCGCGUUGGAUUAGCUAGUUGGUGGGGUAAUGGCCUACCAAGGCGACGAUCCAUAGCUGGUCUGAGAGGAUGAUCAGCCACACUGGGACUGAGACACGGCCCAGACUCCUACGGGAGGCAGCAGUGGGGAAUAUUGGACAAGGGGCGCAAGCCUGAUCCAGCCAUGCCGCGUGAGUGAAAGGGCCCUAGGGUUGUAAAGCUCUUUCAACGGGAAGAUAAUG